rnacentral:rRNA from 1 species
GAGUUUGAUCGUGGCUCAGGAUGAACGCUGGCGGCGUGCCUAAUACAUGCAAGUCGAGCGAACGGACGAGAAGCUUGCUUCUCUGAUGUUAGCGGCGGACGGGUGAGUAACACGUGGAUAACCUACCUAUAAGACUGGGAUAACUUCGGGAAACCGGAGCUAAUACCGGAUAAUAUUUUGAACCGCAUGGUUCAAAAAGUGAAAGACGGUCUUGCUGUCACUUAUAGAUGGAUCCGCGCUGCAUUAGCUAGUUGGUAAGGUAACGGCUUACCAAGGCAACGAUGCAUAGCCGACCUGAGAGGGUGAUCGGCCACACUGGAACUGAGACACGGUCCAGACUCCUACGGGAGGCAGCAGUAGGGAAUCUUCCGCAAUGGGCGAAAGCCUGACGGAGCAACGCCGCGUGAGUGAUGAAGGUCUUCGGAUCGUAAAACUCUGUUAUUAGGGAAGACAUAUGUGUAAGUAACUGUGCACAUCUUGACGGUACCUAAUCAGAAAGCCACGGCUAACUACGUCG